GACGCAGGGCGCGAGCGUUGUCCGGAUUUAUUGGGCGUAAAGAGCUCGUAGGCGGCUUGUUGCGUCGACUGUGAAAACCCGCGGCUUAACUGCGGGCUUGCAGUUGAUACGGGCAGGCUAGAGUUCGGUAGGGGAGACUGGAAUUCCUGGUGUAGCGGUGAAAUGCGCAGAUAUCAGGAGGAACACCGGUGGCGAAGGCGGGUCUCUGGGCUGAUACUGACGCUGAGGAGCGAAAGCGUGGGGAGCGAACAGG
rnacentral:rRNA from 1 species